AUUGAACGCUGGCGGCAGGCCUAACACAUGCAAGUCGAACGGUAACAGGAAGAAGCUUGCUUCUUUGCUGACGAGUGGCGGACGGGUGAGUAAUGUCUGGGAAACUGCCUGAUGGAGGGGGAUAACUACUGGAAACGGUAGCUAAUACCGCAUAACGUCGCAAGACCAAAGAGGGGGACCUUCGGGCCUCUUGCCAUCGGAUGUGCCCAGAUGGGAUUAGCUAGUAGGUGGGGUAACGGCUCACCUAGGCGACGAUCCCUAGCUGGUCUGAGAGGAUGACCAGCCACACUGGAACUGAGGCACGGUCCAGACGCCUACGGGAGGCAGCAGUGGGGAAUAUUGCACAAUGGGCGCAAGCCUGAUGCAGCCAUGCCGCGUGUAUGAAGAAGGCCUUCGGGUUGUAAAGUACUUUCAGCGGGGAGGAAGGGAGUAAAGUUAAUACCUAUACUCAUUGACGUUACCCGCAGAAGAAGCACCGGCUAACUCCGUG
rnacentral:rRNA from 1 species